AACGUCAUAAACAUUUAACUUAGAUGUUUAUGACGUUGACAUCAACGUCAUAAACAUUCAACUUUGUUGUUUAUGACGUUGAUAUUCAACGUCAUAAACAUUCAACUUAAUGUUUAUGACGUUGAUAUUCAACGUCAUAAACAUUCAACUUAGAUGUUUAUGAGGUU